ACAUGCAAGUCGAACGGCAGCGCAGGGAGCUUGCUCCCGGGCGGCGAGUGGCGGACGGGUGAGUAACACGUGGGAAUCUGCUUGGUAGUGGGGGAUAACCCGGGGAAACCCGGGNUAAUACCGCAUGCACCCUACGGGGUAAAGUGGGGGAUCUUCGGACCUCACGCUAUCAGAUGAGCCCGCGGCCGAUUAGCUUGUUGGUGAGGUAAUGGCUCACCAAGGCGACGAUCGGUAGCUGGUCUGAGAGGAUGAUCAGCCACACUGGGACUGAGACACGGCCCAGACUCCUACGGGAGGCAGCAGUGGGGAAUAUUGGACAAUGGGCGAAAGCCUGAUCCAGCAAUGCCGCGUGUGUGAAGAAGGCCUUAGGGUU
rnacentral:rRNA from 1 species